UAUCUAAAUUGUUAUAAAUGGGACAGUAUAUGCACCAUUCCAGGUACCUAAUCACAGCUCAAUCGAUGCAGGAGUCUCUUUCCUUUUUCUUUCUGCAGAAAACAUGCUUUACAUAGGAUCUCUGAACUUAAAGAAUGGGAAGAAGAAAAAUCGUGUUUCCAGCUUGGGCUGCUGUUUCAUCUGCUGGACUUGCUUGAGCCCUGAAUGGAAAGGAUUACUAUGCACACUUUUUGGAUACAGAAACUGAGAUUCAGAGAGGUUAAACAACUUUCCUAAAGCCACACAGCGAGAGUCCAUUUGAACUGAAGAUUGUUUGACAUCAAAGCUCAUUUCUUUCCCUAAAUGUCAGCAUUCUCUCCUGACUUAUUCAUUUGAUUUCUGUCUUUCCCUCAUGGAAGUUAAUUAAAGGAAUGCGAGAACCUUUUAGAAAAUCUC